rnacentral:rRNA from 1 species
AUGAACGCUGGCGGCGUGCUUAACACAUGCAAGUCGAACGAAGCACCUCUCCCGAAGAUUGACACAGCUUGCUGUAGAUUGAUUCAUUUGAGGUGACUGAGUGGCGGACGGGUGAGUAACGCGUGGGUAACCUGCCUCAUAGAGGGGGACAACAGUUGGAAACGACUGCUAAUACCGCAUAGUAAGAAGAAUUCGCAUGUUUUCUUCUUGAAAGAUUUAUCGCUAUGAGAUGGACCCGCGUCUGAUUAGCUAGUUGGUAAGGUAACGGCUUACCAAGGCGACGAUCAGUAGCCGGCUUGAGAGAGUGAACGGCCACAUUGGGACUGAGACACGGCCCAAACUCCUACGGGAAGCAGCAGUGGGGAAUAUUGCACAAUGGGGGAAACCCUGAUGCAGCGACGCCGCGUGAGUGAAGAAGUAUUUCGGUAUGUAAAGCUCUAUCAGCAGGGAAGAUAAUGACGGUACCUGACUAAGAAGCCCCGGCUAACUACGUG